rnacentral:rRNA from 1 species
GACGAACGCUGGCGGCGUGCCUAAUACAUGCAAGUCGAGCGAAGUUUUUCUGGUUCUUGCACUAGAAAAACUUAGCGGCGAACGGGUGAGUAACACGUAAAGAACCUGCCUCAUAGACUGGGACAACUAUUGGAAACGAUAGCUAAUACCGGAUAACAGUAUUUCUCGCUUGAGAGAUAUUUAAAAGUUGGUUAUGCUAACACUAUGAGAUGGCUUUGCGGUGCAUUAGCUAGUUGGUGGGGUAAAGGCCCACCAAGGCGACGAUGCAUAGCCGACCUGAGAGGGUGAUCGGCCACACUGGGACUGAGACACGGCCCAGACUCCUACGGGAGGCAGCAGUAGGGAAUCUUCCGCAAUGGGCGAGAGCCUGACGGAGCAACGCCGCGUGAGUGAAGAAGGAUUUCGGUUCGUAAAGCUCUGUUGUUAGGGAAGAAUGGAUAUGUAGUAACUAUACAUGUAAGAGACGGUACCUAGCCAGAAAGCCACGGCUAACUACGUG